rnacentral:lncRNA from 1 species
UUAAAUUUAUCACUCAUUACAAGAAAAUGUAAUAAAUUUUGUAAAUAAUUGGUUCCUUUAUAUAAUUGAAACUUUCUCCCGUGGUCUAACCAUUAGUAAAUAUGAAUAUUUUCUUCCAAAGAGAAGAUAUGUACCAAUCUGACAACAUGGUUCUUAUUUAUUCAGGUCAUGAUAAGAGAGUUUGUACUGGCACCUCAUUGUGACACUGAAAUAGCUGGCCAGGGACAAGUUUAUAUAAAAUACUACGGCAGUGAAGAAUGGUAAUUAACCUGUUUUAGUGCUUACUGAUUUUUUCGAGUUUUCAACCAUAUUUGUUAUCAACUUCAAAUUGUAAUCAUGAGCCUUUUAUUUGGAAUUAACUUUCAGUGCUUUGAUGGAUCCAGCUAGAGAUCUUUCACCGUUUGACCAUGUGAGUAUAAAUCUUGUAUUUAGUAAUUAAUUAGACCACUUAACAUAGUUCUUGAGUGGCCAUUUUCUUUCUUUGCAGUUUGCACCCAAUAAUUAGUGUUACGCGGUAGAGAGACAUGGUUACUUGGCUUUCAAUGUCUUUACCGUUCACUAUUUCAAUUCUUAUAAUUAUAAACCUUGUGCAAAUGCAAAAAUGCAGUGCAUUGUAUAUUUGUUCUACAUUUGUUUUCACUUAAGCUACAAUGAUUACGGCACAUUGUGUGCAGUCUUUUAAAUUAGCUAAUUUUUCAUGCACGGUAAGAUUAAUUACUGAAAUAUAUGAUGUGCAAAUUUUAAUGCACCGAUUCUUGUACAGCAGUGAUCUCAUGCUACUUGUUUUAGUUACUUGCCCAGUCAUAUCCUAGGUUGCUUCAGUCAUGGGAUGUUGUACUCAAUACUCAGAAACUAAAUAUUGCAUAUAAGGAUAUGAUUAAUGAAGCAAAUUUUAUAUUGGUUAAAUACCCUUUUUCUGUUGUCACAUAGGAGACACCUGAUCAACUAACCAUUCAUUAUUUUCAGUGCUUUGAAAGAAGAAGUGCCAACCCUUCAGAUGAAUUUCAGGAAGCACUGAAACAGG